rnacentral:rRNA from 1 species
ACCACAGCGCCCCAGCUCCACCGGCCCCGCCGACUCCGGGAUCCACUGGCACCGGCGCUGUCGCCCCAACCUCCGGUUUCCACUAUCGCUCGUGCGUCGUGGCCUCCUUCCCGGACCACCCCGCCGCCAUGCCCCGCCGACUCAGAUCGUCGGGGGCCUUCUUCCCCUGCUUCCACCGCGGGGGUGGCCUCCGUUUGCCGUCAACCGGCGCCGCGACCUGCCCCAUGGCGCCCCCGCGACCUUCCCAUGGCGCCCCUGCGACCUGCCCACGGCGCCGUCGUCGCUCCUGAUCCACCAUGUGUGCGUGUGGCCAGGCUACCUGCAGCGGGAGCCCCCGGCCAAAUCCGACUCGCCGCAGCCGGCCAUCCCACGUGCAUCCGACGCCGCGUCCCCUGCACGUUGCUGUCCAGCUACGGUCGCUACCCUUCACAGGACAUUGCUCCGGCUGCUGCUUCAGCAGUCCAAGUGCCCACCUGUGUCCGUCCGAGUUCCUUCGCCCGUGCUCCUUCGUGCUGGAGCUUGUGCCAGCAGCGGUGCACGCAUCUGAAGAUCGGGCUGAUGCGUCUUCAGCAAACACUGCGACGAGCAACCACCUCUUGCAGCAAUCUCUCUCUAUGUCCCUCCGCUUGUACAGCAAAACAAGUCGAUGCUUUUCUUCAGUUUGAUUUAGCAGUUUGAAAAAGAUCGACAGUGGCAUUCUUUGAACUUCCAUGUGUAAGUAUUGGUAAUGGUAGGCUCACGGCUUUUUGGACGGACAAAUGGUUUCAGGCCGGUCGUUUUGCUGAGCUCUUCCCCACGUUAUACUCCUUUGCAAAGAUUCAGAGGAUCUUAGGCUACACAUUUUCUCUGGCAAGACAGCAAUUGUACGCGACUACUACAGCCUACUCACCUUCAGAGGAGUAUGUUGGGAGCUAGCGGAGAUGAUUGGUGAUAAAACCAUUCCCAAGAGAUGGCAGAUCUUCCUAUGGCUUGCUUUCAAGGGUAGGCUGAAUGUUAGAACAUUCAUGCUUCGGAAGCAAUGGAAGAAUAUCGAACACCCAUAUUGUGAUUCCUGUCCGGCUGAAGAAAGUGGAUCACAUAAUUUUGAGAUGCGCUCCAGCUCACUUUAUGUGGAGUAAGCUUGAGGUCUUGCAGCACGCAACAGAAUCACACUCUUUGAUAGACUUUGUGCGGGCUCUUCAAUCGAUUAGUCCGCACUGGUUUGUGCUUUCUACUGCCUGUGCGGUUCAGCUCUGGAAAGUGCGUAACGCUCGGGUCUUUGAGCUUUCUACUGCCUCUGCGGUUCAGCUCUGGAAUGUGCGUAACGCUCGGGUCUUUGACGGUCUGUCAGUGCCACUCCUUGCCUCUUGCCUUGCCAUUGCAGAGCUGAUUCAGUUAUGGUGCUGUAGGUCGCAGGAUUGUUCUCUCAAGGCCUUCCUUCACCACCACUCGGAGCUCCUGAGGAACACCAUGUAGCCAGGCUUAGCUUAAGGGAUUGUUCCCCUUCGCCCCUGUUUUCUCUUGUUUCUAUUCCUCUGAUGCGGUGUUUUUGCCGGCAUCUUUUGUACUAAGGCAAUUCUCAGACCUCGGUCUGGC